GAGGAGGUGCCAUGUUUCACGGAGUGUAAGGGAGGACUUCUCUGAAGCUAAACUUCAAAGUGAGAUCUGAAGACAGCAAGGAGACAUCUGGAUCCCAGGGUUCAAUCAAGAAAUUCAAGAAAAUGAAGUGAAUCCUGCAAAGGAGGCCAAGAACCAGCCCAUGAAGUUGAGAACCAAGAGAUGGUGGUCUUGGACAUCAAAAGAAGAGAGGCCACAGAGAAGAAGGAGUGAUCUGACCACUGCAUCGAAUGCUGCUGGGAGGUGGAGGAGGAUGAGCACUGAGAAGUGACUGCCAUGCAUCAGUUUGCAGCAUGAUAACCAUUGGUGGCUCUGACGGGAGUGGAGUGAUGGGGCAGAAACCUAACUGAAUGAGUUUAAGAAAUAAGGCAUAGCACCCAUCACACUGACUGAGUCAUCCGGAAAAUGUGAGAAAUCACUUAAUAAAGAGCUGCCCUGGGGAAAUGGACAGCUGGAUGCAGAAAGACACAUGGACGCACAUGAUUCAUUAACGCACGGCAUGCCUGCCUACUUCUCUAUGGCACCAAAUCGGCAGUUCUCAAUGCUGAGCUUCCCAGUUAAUACUUCUUGAAAGAGAGUUGGGAAGAAGCAGCAGAGAGGACCUUAGUAGGAGUGGAGGUUAUAAUAAAUUCUCCUUUCUCCUAAAUGAAUCAGAUUAAGACUCUGAAAGCCUAGUGGGAAACACCAAAGGCUAUUCAGCCAGGUAAGUGGCAAGAUAAGAUUUGCAUCUUUAAGGAGUACAUCUGCCGGUUUUCUUCCCUCACGAUCAACCAGGAAGAAAUGUGAGAUAGAAAACUGUGAGGACACCCUAGCAUGACAGAAACUGUUUUGAUUUGUGGUGUGGGAAGUGACUGGCCUGGGGCUAGACGUGUUCUGGCUUCUAGCACUUCCUAGGAGGCUAAACUGAGCAGUGAACUGCUGGAGUUCUGCUCCUGCUUUUCUACCACCAUUUCUCUGGUCAGACAGGUGCUGUCCUCAUACCUCUGGUGCCUCAGAACUAAAAUCAGACAGAGCAGGAGCCCUGCGCUCAAAAGGAAGUGACAAAAAUAUGUAGGGACCAACUGGCCUCCUUUCCUACUCCAUCUCCUUCCAGUCCUAAGGGCUUGGAAAUUACACCCUAGGGAGUGUCUCCUCCUAAUGCACUUCUCAGUCUGGGGCAUGGGAGGAGGAGGAGAAAAGACCAGAAGUGGCCUGGCAGUUCUUUUGUAGAUUGAGCAGUGAUUGACUGUGUUUUAUGGGAGUGAGGACAGACCUGUGUUAUGACUUUAGUGAGUUCUGUGUACCCUUCCCUCAUAAAAUAUAUUAAAAAUCAUAUUUUAUAGCUGCAUUGAUAUAAAGAUGAAAAUAAUCCAGGCUGGGCCGGGCGCGGUGGCUCACGCCUGUAAUCCCAGCACUUUGGGAGGCCAAGGCGGGUGGAUCACCUGAGAUCGGGGGUUCAAGACCAGCCUGGCCAAUAUGGUGAAACCCAUCUCUACUAAAAACACAAAAAAUUAGCUGGGUGUGGUGGUGGGCACCUGUAAUCCCAGCUACUUGGGAUAAUGAAAUGGGAGAAUUGCUUGAACCCAGGAGGCGGAGGUUGCAGCGAGCCGAGAUUGUGCUACUGCACCGCAGCCUGGGCACAACAGAGCAAGACUCCAUCUCAAAAAAAAAAAAAAGAAAAAAUCCAGGCUGAAUUCGUUCAUUGUUCUAUAUUCAUUACUAUUAUACUUAUUUCUUUCUUCAGCUAGUGAAAUAAACUAGAAAUAAAACACUUCUGUGGGUGCUUAAAAAUGUUGUGGACCCUAGGCACCGUGUGUGCUGCAGCUGGUAGAUAAGCUGGGCCUGGGUGCGGACUGUGGUUUUCAGGUGCUGGAAGCUCUCUCCACCCUCAGGUUUAUUCAUUGCCAUCUCUUGAGUCUUCUGAAAUCUUCACAGACUAGAAUCUGGCCCUCCCCACACAGUUAUUGCCUGACACAUUAGCCAGUACCCUUAGGAGAAAAUGAGCCCCCAGCCCAAAUAGGCCGGCAAUUUGAAAAGCUUGUAAUAUAAGAACCAAGUAGAAGUAUUAGUUAGGAGCUUGUACUCUGAUUAAAGAACACAAUAGAUGGAUAAAUAGCAGGAUGAUUACAACCUAGAAAUGAAUUCCUAAGCCCAAAAUUGAAAUGGAAAAAAGCUCUCAAAGAGAAAAAGGAAAGAAUUAGAACACAUGCAAGGGAAGUUAGGGGA
rnacentral:lncRNA from 1 species